UACGGAGGGGGCGAGCGUUAUUCGGAAUUACUGGGCGUAAAGGGAGCGUAGGCGGGUUAUCAAGUUGGGGGUGAAAGCCCGGGGCUCAACCUCGGAAUUGCCUUCAAAACUGAUAACCUAGAGUAUGGGAGAGGUAAGCGGAACUCCGAGUGUAGAGGUGAAAUUCGUAGAUAUUCGGAAGAACACCAGUGGCGAAGGCGGCUUACUGGUCCAUUACUGACGCUGAGGCUCGAAAGCGUGGGGAGCAAACAGG
rnacentral:rRNA from 1 species